UACGUAGGGUGCAAGCGUUAAUCGGAAUUACUGGGCGUAAAGCGUGCGCAGGCGGUGAUGUAAGACAGAUGUGAAAUCCCCGGGCUCAACCUGGGAACUGCAUUUGUGACUGCAUUGCUGGAGUGCGGCAGAGGGGAUGGAAUUCCGCGUGUAGCAGUGAAAUGCGUAGAUAUGCGGAGGAACACCGAUGGCGAAGGCAAUCCCCUGGGCCUGCACUGACGCUCAUGCACGAAAGCGUGGGGAGCAAACAGG
rnacentral:rRNA from 1 species